rnacentral:rRNA from 1 species
UACGAAGGGGGCUAGCGUUGUUCGGAAUUACUGGGCGUAAAGCGCGUGUAGGCGGGUCCUUAAGUCAGGGGUGAAAUGCCAAGGCUCAACCUUGGAACUGCCUUUGAUACUGGGGAUCUUGAGUCCGGGAGAGGUGAGUGGAACUGCGAGUGUAGAGGUGAAAUUCGUAGAUAUUCGCAAGAACACCAGUGGCGAAGGCGGCUCACUGGUCCGAUACUGACGCUGAGGUGCGAAAGCGUGGGGAGCAAACAGGG